rnacentral:rRNA from 1 species
ACGCUAGCGGGAGGCCUAACACAUGCAAGCCGAGCGGUAUUUAUUCUUCGGAAUAGAGAGAGCGGCGUACGGGUGCGGAACACGUGUGCAACCUGCCUUUAUCAGGGGGAUAGCCUUUCGAAAGGAAGAUUAAUACCCCAUAAUAUAAUUGAUGGCAUCAUUGAUUAUUGAAAACUCCGGUGGAUAGAGAUGGGCACGCGCAAGAUUAGAUAGUUGGUAGGGUAACGGCCUACCAAGUCAGUGAUCUUUAGGGGGCCUGAGAGGGUGAUCCCCCACACUGGUACUGAGACACGGACCAGACUCCUACGGGAGGCAGCAGUGAGGAAUAUUGGACAAUGGGUGAGAGCCUGAUCCAGCCAUCCCGCGUGAAGGACGACGGCCCUAUGGGUUGUAAACUUCUUUUGUAUAGGGAUAAACCUAGAUACGUGUAUCUAGCUGAAGGUACUAUACGAAUAAGCACCGGCUAACUCCGUGCCAGCAGCCGCGGUAAUACGGAGGGUGCAAGCGUUAUCCGGAUUUAUUGGGUUUAAAGGGUCCGUAGGCGGAUCUGUAAGUCAGUGGUGAAAUCUCAUAGCUUAACUAUGAAACUGCCAUUGAUACUGCAGGUCUUGAGUAAGGUAGAAGUAGCUGGAAUAAGUAGUGUAGCGGUGAAAUGCAUAGAUAUUACUUAGAACACCAAUUGCGAAGGCAGGUUACUAUGUCUUAACUGACGCUGAUGGACGAAAGCGUGGGGAGCGAACAGGAUUAGAUACCCUGGUAGUCCACGCCGUAAACGAUGCUAACUCGUUUUUGGGUUUUCGGAUUCAGAGACUAAGCGAAAGUGAUAAGUUAGCCACCUGGGGAGUACGUUCGCAAGAAUGAAACUCAAAGGAAUUGACGGGGGCCCGCACA